rnacentral:rRNA from 1 species
GACGUAGGGCGCGAGCGUUAGGCGGAAUCACUGGGCUUAAAGCGUGUGUAGGUGGAUGCCUAAGUACCUUGUGAAAUCCCACGGCUUAACCGUGGAACUGCUUGGUAUACUGGGUGUCUUGAGUCACUCAGGGGCGAGCGGAACAAAUGGUGGAGCGGUGAAAUGCGUAGAUAUCAUUUGGAACGCCAAUGGGUGAAAACAGCUCGCUGGGGGUGCACUGACAC